GAUGAACGCUGGCGGCGUGCCUAAUACAUGCAAGUCGAGCGAACAGACGAGGAGCUUGCUCCUCUGACGUUAGCGGCGGACGGGUGAGUAACACGUGGAUAACCUACCUAUAAGACUGGGAUAACUUCGGGAAACCGGAGCUAAUACCGGAUAAUAUAUUGAACCGCAUGGUUCAAUAGUGAAAGACGGUUUUGCUGUCACUUAUAGAUGGAUCCGAGCCGCAUUAGCUGGUUGGUAAGGUAACGGCUUACCAAGGCAACGAUGCGUAGCCGACCGGAGAGGGUGAUCGGCCACACGGGAGCUGAGACACGGUCCAGACUCCUACGGGAGGCAGCAGUAGGGAAUCUUCCGCAAUGGGCGAAAGCUUGACGGAGCAACGCCGCGUGAGUGAUGAAGGUCUUCGGAUCGUAAAACUCUGUUAUUAGGGAAGAACAAAUGUGUAAGUAACUAUGCACGUCUUGACGGUACCUAAUCAGAAAGCCACGGCUAACUACGUG
rnacentral:rRNA from 1 species